rnacentral:rRNA from 1 species
AGAUUGAACGCUGGCGGCAUGCCUUACACAUGCAAGUCGAACGGCAGCACGGGGGCAACCCUGGUGGCGAGUGGCGAACGGGUGAGUAACAUAUCGGAACGUGCCCUGGAGUGGGGGAUAACUAGUCGAAAGACUAGCUAAUACCGCAUACGAUCUACGGAUGAAAGUGGGGGAUCGCAAGACCUCAUGCUCGUGGAGCGGCCGAUAUCUGAUUAGCUAGUUGGUGGGGUAAAGCCUACCAAGGCAUCGAUCAGUAGCUGGUCUGAGAGGACGACCAGCCACACUGGGACUGAGACACGGCCCAGACCUCCUACGGGAGCAGCAGUGGGGAAUUGUAGACA